rnacentral:rRNA from 1 species
GGAUGAACGCUAGCUACAGGCUUAACACAUGCAAGUCGAGGGGCAGCAUGGUCUUAGCUUGCUAAGGCCGAUGGCGACCGGCGCACGGGUGAGUAACACGUAUCCAACCUGCCGUCUACUCUUGGACAGCCUUCUGAAAGGAAGAUUAAUACUAGAUGGCAUCAUGAGUCCGCAUGUUCACAUGAUUAAAGGUAUUCCGGUAGACGAUGGGGAUGCGUUCCAUUAGAUAGUAGGCGGGGUAACGGCCCACCUAGUCUUCGAUGGAUAGGGGUUCUGAGAGGAAGGUCCCCCACAUUGGAACUGAGACACGGUCCAAACUCCUACGGGAGGCAGCAGUGAGGAAUAUUGGUCAAUGGGCGAGAGCCUGAAUCAGCCAAGUAGCGUGAAGGAUGACUGCCCUAUGGGUUGUAAACUUCUUUUAUAAAGGAAUAAAGUCGGGUAUGCAUACCCGUUUGCAUGUACUUUAUGAAUAAGGAUCGGCUAACUCCGUGCCAGCAGCCGCGGUAAUACGGAGGAUCCGAGCGUUAUCCGGAUUUAUUGGGUUUAAAGGGAGCGUAGAUGGAUGUUUAAGUCAGUUGUGAAAGUUUGCGGCUCAACCGUAAAAUUGCAGUUGAUACUGGAUAUCUUGAGUGCAGUUGAGGCAGGCGGAAUUCGUGGUGUAGCGGUGAAAUGCUUAGAUAUCACGAAGAACUCCGAUUGCGAAGGCAGCCUGCUAAGCUGCAACUGACAUUGAGGCUCGAAAGUGUGGGUAUCAAACAGGAUUAGAUACCCUGGUAGUCCACACGGUAAACGAUGAAUACUCGCUGUUUGCGAUAUACGGCAAGCGGCCAAGCGAAAGCGUUAAGUAUUCCACCUGGGGAGUACGCCGGCAACGGUGAAACUCAAAGGAAUUGACGGGGGCCCGCACAAGCGGAGGAACAUGUGGUUUAAUUCGAUGAUACGCGAGGAACCUUACCCGGGCUUAAAUUGCAGAUGAAUUACGGUGAAAGCCGUAAGCCGCAAGGCAUCUGUGAAGGUGCUGCAUGGUUGUCGUCAGCUCGUGCCGUGAGGUGUCGGCUUAAGUGCCAUAACGAGCGCGACCCUUGUUGUCAGUUACUAACAGGUUCCGCUGAGGACUCUGACAAGACUGCCAUCGUAAGAUGUGAGGAAGGCGGGGAUGACGUCAAAUCAGCACGGCCCUUACGUCCGGGGCUACACACGUGUUACAAUGGGGGGUACAGAGGGCCGCUACCACGCGAGUGGAUGCCAAUCCCCAAAACCUCUCUCAGUUCGGACUGGAGUCUGCAACCCGACUCCACGAAGCUGGAUUCGCUAGUAAUCGCGCAUCAGCCACGGCGCGGUGAAUACGUUCCCGGGCCUUGUACACACCGCCCGUCAAGCCAUGGGAGCCGGGGGUACCUGAAGUGCGUAACCGCGAGGAGCGCCCUAGGGUAAAACUGGUGAC